CCUCUCAUGGCGUAGUGGUAACGCGCCCCAACUAGACAUCGGGGAGUCGUGAGUUCGAUUCUCACUGAGAAGA
rfam:Aedes aegypti strain Liverpool supercont1.553 genomic scaffold, whole genome shotgun sequence.